AGAGUUUGAUCAUGGCUCAGAACGAACGCUGGCGGCGUGCUUAACACAUGCAAGUCGAACGUGAUUCGGAGCUUGCUCCGAUGAAAGUGGCGCACGGGUGAGUAACGCGUGGAUAACCUGCCCUGGUAUCUGGGAUAACAUCUCGAAAGGGGUACUAAUACCGGAUAAGCCCACGGAACCUUCGGGUUCUGCGGGAAAAGGAGGCCUCUAUUUAUAAGCUUCCGUACCAUGAUGGGUCCGCGUACCAUUAGCUAGUUGGUGGGGUAAUGGCCUACCAAGGCGACGAUGGUUAGCUGGUCUGAGAGGAUGAUCAGCCACGCUGGAACUGAGACACGGUCCAGACUCCUACGGGAGGCAGCAGUGGGGAAUUUUGCGCAAUGGGGGAAACCCUGACGCAGCAACGCCGCGUGAGUGAUGAAGGCUUUCGGGUCGUAAAGCUCUGUCAGUGGGGAAGAAAUGGGACUGGCUAAUAUCCAGUCUUCUUGACGGUACCCACAAAGGAAGCACCGGCUAACUCCGUGCCAGCAGCCGCGGUAAUACGGGGGGUGCAAGCGUUGUUCGGAUUUAUUGGGCGUAAAGCGCGUGUAGGCGGUUUCUUAAGUCUGAUGUGAAAGCCCUGGGCUCAACCCAGGAAG
rnacentral:rRNA from 1 species